rnacentral:tRNA from 1 species
GUCGGGAUAGCUCAGUUGGUAGAGCAGAGGACUGAAAAUUCUCGUGC